UACGUAGGUGGCAAGCGUUGUCCGGAUUUACUGGGCGUAAAGUGUGCGCAGGCGGCUUCGCAAGUCGAGUGUGAAAUCCCCGAGCUUAACUUGGGAAUUGCGCUCGAAACUACGGAGCUGGAGUGUGGCAGAGGAAGGUGGAAUUCCACGUGUAGCGGUGAAAUGCGUAGAGAUGUGGAGGAACACCGAUGGCGAAGGCAGCCUUCUGGGCCAACACUGACGCUCAUGCACGAAAGCGUGGGGAGCAAACAGG
rnacentral:rRNA from 1 species